rnacentral:lncRNA from 1 species
GUUAUUGUUGGUUAUUAUUAUCCAGGCUAAUAGAACCAAGUGGGCAGAAUGGGUUAUUGUUGUUUAUUAUUAUCCAGGCUAAUAGAACCAAGUGGACAGAAUGGGUUAUUGUUGGUUAUUAUUAUCCAGGCUAAUAGAACCAAGUGGACAGAAUGGGUUAUUGUUGUUUAUUAUUAUCCAGGCUAUUAGAACCAAGUGGACAGAAUGGGUUAUUGUUGGUUAUUAUUAUCCAGGCUAUUAGAACCAAGUGGGCAGAAUGGGUUAUUGUUGUUUAUUAUUAUCCAGGCUAUUAGAACCAAGUGGACAGAAUGGGUUAUUGUUGGUUAUUAUUAUCCAGGCUAUUAGAACCAAGUGGGCAGAAUGGGUUAUUGUUGGUUAUUAUUAUCCAGGCUAUUAGAACCAAGUGGGCAGAAUGGGUUAUUGUUGGUUAUUAUUAUCCAGGCUAUUAGAACC